AGAGUUUGAUCCUGGCUCAGAUUGAACGCUGGCGGCAUGCUUUACACAUGCAAGUCGAACGGUAACAGGCCGCAAGGUGCUGACGAGUGGCGAACGGGUGAGUAAUGCAUCGGAACGUGCCCAGUCGUGGGGGAUAACGCAGCGAAAGCUGCGCUAAUACCGCAUACGAUCUAUGGAUGAAAGCGGGGGACCGUAAGGCCUCGCGCGAUUGGAGCGGCCGAUGUCAGAUUAGGUAGUUGGUGGGGUAAAGGCUCACCAAGCCGUCGAUCUGUAGCUGGUCUGAGAGGACGACCAGCCACACUGGGACUGAGACACGGCCCAGACUCCUACGGGAGGAAGCAGUGGGGAAUUUUGGACAAUGGGCGCAAGCCUGAUCCAGCCAUGCCGCGUGCAGGAUGAAGGCCUUCGGGUUGUAAACUGCUUUUGUACGGAACGAAAAGACUCCUUCUAAUAAAGGGGGUCCAUGACGGUACCGUAAGAAUAAGCACCGGCUAACUACGUGCCAGCAGCCGCGGUAAUACGUAGGGUGCGAGCGUUAAUCGGAAUUACUGGGCGUAAAGCGUGCGCAGGCGGUUAUGUAAGACAGAUGUGAAAUCCCCGGGCUCAACCUGGGAACUGCAUUUGUGACUGCAUAGCUAGAGUACGGCAGAGGGGGAUGGAAUUCCGCGUGUAGCAGUGAAAUGCGUAGAUAUGCGGAGGAACACCGAUGGCGAAGGCAAUCCCCUGGGCCUGUACUGACGCUCAUGCACGAAAGCGUGGGGAGCAAACAGGAUUAGAUACCCCGGUAGUCC
rnacentral:rRNA from 1 species